rnacentral:lncRNA from 13 species
AUGCAUCUGUUAAGGUUAAGGGGAUUACCAGGGGAAACCAAAAGAGGAGCAGUCGUUGACAAAGUCAAUACAAAAAUCAAUCUGAGACACCACUCUCCCUCCCUCCCUCUGCCCCAGGCCAGGCGGAACACAGAGACACCACUCUCCCUCCCUCCCUCUGUCCCAGGCCAGGCGGAACACAGAGACACCACUCUCCCUCCCUCCCUCCCUCUGCCCCAGGCCAGGCGGAACACAGAGACACCCACGGAACUCUCAGAAUCCUCACCAACACUGGCUCCCCUCUUACCCGCUCUGAGUGGGCACACCAAUACCAUGCCAGCUUGUGUGUGUUCAUUUUCAUGUGUGUGUGGGUGUGUGUGCGUGCGUGUUCUUGUGCUACCUCUCUGUCACGGCACCCAGUCAUAUCCAGAGUAAUGAGACACAGGGGGAAUAAAAGCUGGAGAGAAGAGAGGGAUGAAGGGACAUGCACACACACUCACAUGCACACACACUGCAGUCAGGGUGGGCAGGGCAGUGCUUACACUGUGAUAAUCAAAAUCAUUUUUAACUGUUAUAAAAAGCCAAAUAAAAAAUGUAAUUAUAUAAAAACGUUUUUGUUAUGUAAUGUUUUUUUCUCAGUGAUUCUGGUGGUUUUUAUGCAAUAUCAGAAAAUCUGCUUAAACUGCAUCAAAUCCUCAGGAAAGGCAACAGCGUAUUCAUGGCUUCCUUUCCUCCAUUCAAAUCAUUGAAGUGAAUGGCAACCCCUGACUCCAGUCACUGUUAAUAAACAAUUUCAUAUUUUGUGUAUGCCUAAACAUGUUCUGUGUGUAACGAUAAGCUCUUCACAUUUGAGUGUGUCUACAUAAUUUGGGCGUGUCUACAUAAUUUGGGCGUGUCUACAUAGUUUGGGCGUGUCUACAUAACGUAGCUAGCAACAAAAAAAACGGACAAGUGGACUAUAUUGCACUUCAAAUAAUUUUCCAAGUUGGAACAAUGUAAUGUGCCGUUUGGAGAGGACAGGAGAGGAUAGAUAGAUGGAUAACUCGUUUCAGUCAAAGUGGAGGGAUGGAGGACUUCCAGCUACAUGGGAAGGUACUCACGCGCAUUGCCUUGAUGACCCAGGACCAUUAUCCAGUGAAAUUGGGAAUCAACUCAGACCUGGGCUUCAUAGUAAGGACACAGUUAAUUUGUUCUCACAGCCUAGUAUAAAACAUUUUUAAAAAUUCAUAAACAUAUUUUCCAACUUAUCUGAUCUCUCCCCUUCUCUGUUUUCUCCCGGCCUCUUUCUCCUUCCCUCCAUCUCUCUCUGCAGAUUGUUCCGAUGA